rnacentral:miRNA from 1 species
UCUGAGAGCCUCUGCAUCAU